GAUGAACGCUAGCUACAGGCUUAACACAUGCAAGUCGAGGGGCAGCAUGAUUGAAGCUUGCUUCAAUCGAUGGCGACCGGCGCACGGGUGAGUAACACGUAUCCAACCUGCCGAUAACUCGGGGAUAGCCUUUCGAAAGAAAGAUUAAUACCCGAUAGUAUAGUAUUUCCGCAUGGUUUCACUAUUAAAGAACUUCGGUUAUCGAUGGGGAUGCGUUCCAUUAGAUAGUUGGCGGGGUAACGGCCCACCAAGUCAACGAUGGAUAGGGGUUCUGAGAGGAAGGUCCCCCACAUUGGAACUGAGACACGGUCCAAACUCAUACGGGAGGCAGCAGUGAGGAAUAUUGGUCAAUGGACGAGAGUCUGAACCAGCCAAGUAGCGUGAAGGAUGACUGCCCUAUGGGUUGUAAACUUCUUUUAUACGGGAAUAAAGUGGAGUAUGCAUACUCCUUUGUAUGUACCGUAUGAAUAAGAAUCGGCUAACUCCGUG
rnacentral:rRNA from 1 species